AUGGAUAAGAUUCACAGGAAUUUCUUAUGGUGUUCAAGGACCGAUGGUGACAAGGGCAUGGCUCUUGUCAACUGGAGCACGGUCUGUCGCCCUAAAAAGCUGGGCGGCCUAGGGGUGUUGUACCUAAAUCGCUUUGGGAGAGCUCUCCAUCUCAGGUGGAAAUGGCGAGACUGGACUGAUAAGGAUCGCCCCUGGGCUGGCACGAAAAUCCCUUGUGACAAGGAUGAUCUGGCUCUCUUCUCGGCUUCUACCUCAGUGGUCAUUGGGAAUGGUCAUACUGCCAAUUUUUGGUAUGAUAGAUGGUUGGAUGGGCACGUGCCUAGGCUUCUUGCACCAGAUAUCUUCAAGCUCUCCUCUCGCAAGAAUAUCUCCGUACAUGAUGCCAUUUCAGAUAACAGGUGGAUGCGGGGCCUCCACCGGAUUUGUGAAAAUACUGAGAUACGUCAGUUCUCUUACCUUUGGAGCAAAGUGUAG
rnacentral:rRNA from 1 species